rnacentral:rRNA from 1 species
UACGUAGGGGGCAAGCGUUAUCCGGAUUUACUGGGUGUAAAGGGAGCGCAGGCGGUGCGGCAAGUCUGAUGUGAAAGCCCGGGGCUCAACCCCGGGACUGCAUUGGAAACUGUCGUACUUGAGUAUCGGAGAGGUAAGUGGAAUUCCUAGUGUAGCGGUGAAAUGCGUAGAUAUUAGGAGGAACACCAGUGGCGAAGGCGGCUUACUGGACGAUAACUGACGCUGAGGCUCGAAAGCGUGGGGAGCAAACAGG